UCAGGUCAAUAUUCCUGUACCGAUGUGUAGUGCGAUGUGGGGACGGAGAAGGUUCACUCAGCCGGGUGUUGGAUGUCCCGGUUCAAGCUUGUAGUCGUGGUCCUUAGGAAAAUCCGGGGAUCUUAGAUGAGGAGUGAUAACGAGGAGGCUUGCCUCCGAAGUGAGUGAUACCCUGCUUCCAGGAAAAGCCACUAAGCUUCAGCUGCACACGACCGUACCGCAAACCGACACUGGUGCGCGAGAUGAGUAUUCUAAGGCGCUUGAGAGAACUCUGGAGAAGGAACUCGGCAAAUUGACACCGUAACUUCGGAAGAAGGUGUGCCUAUAGUAGGUGAAGUCGUACAGACGGAGCCCAAUGAGGCCGCAGAGAAUCGGUGGCUGCGACUGUUUAUUAAAAACACAGCACUCUGCAAAGACGAAAGUCGACGUAUAGGGUGUGACGCCUGCCCGGUGCUGGAAGAUUGAAUGAUGGGGUGCAAGCUCUUGAUUGAAGUCCCAGUAAACGGCGGCCGUAACUAUAACGGUCCUAAGGUAGCGAAAUUCCUUGUCGGGUAAGUUCCGACCUGCACGAAUGGCGUAACGAUGGCCACGCUGUCUCCUCCAGAGACUCAGCGAAGUUGAAAUGUUUGUGAUGAUGCAAUCUCCCCGCGGAAAGACGGAAAGACCCCAUGAACCUUUACUGUAGCUUCACAUUGGACUUUGAACAGAUCUGUGUAGGAUAGGUGGGAGGCUUUGAAGCGGUGCCGCUAGGUGUCGUGGAGCCAACCUUGAAAUACCACCCUGGUGUGUUUGGGGUUCUAACCUUGACCCGUUAUCCGGGUUGGGGACAGUGUGUGGUGGGCAGUUUGACUGGGGCGGUCUCCUCCCAAAGUGUAACGGAGGAGUUCGAAGGUACGCUAGGCUCGGUCGGAAAUCGUGCUGAUAGUGCAUUGGCAUAAGCGCGCUUGACUGCGAGACGGACAUGGCGAGCAGGUACGAAAGUAGGACAAAGUGAUCCGGUGGUUCUGUAUGGAAGGGCCAUCGCUCAACGGAUAAAAGGUACUCUGGGGAUAACAGGCUGAUACCGCCCAAGAGUUCAUAUCGACGGCGGUGUUUGGCACCUCGAUGUCGGCUCAUCUCAUCCUGGGGCUGUAGCCGGUCCCAAGGGUAUGGCUGUUCGCCAUUUAAAGAGGUACGUGAGCUGGGUUUAAAACGUCGUGAGACAGUUUGGUCCCUAUCUUCCGUGGGCGCUGCAAGAUUGAGAGAGCCUGCUCCUAGUACGAGAGGACCGGAGUGGACGCACCUCUGGUGCAUCGGUUGUCACGCCAGUGGCAUAGCCGAGUAGCUAAGUGCGGAAGAGAUAACCGCUGAAAGCAUCUAAGCGGGAAACUCGUCUCAAGAUGAGUCUUGCCGGGGCCUUGAGCCCCCUGAAGAGUCGUUCGAGACCAGGACGUUGAUAGGCCGGGUGUGGAAGCGCGGUAACGCGUU
rnacentral:rRNA from 1 species